GGUGUGGCUCAGUGACAGAGCACUUGCUUGGCAUAUGCAAGACUCUGGGUUCAAUCCCUAGCACC
rnacentral:tRNA from 1 species